UCUGUCUUGAGGUGGGGGAUAACUCCGGGAAACUGGAGCUAAUACCGCAUGAUAACUGAGGUUCAAAGGUCGCAAGACCGCCUUGAGAGGGGCCUGCGUUCGAUUAGUUAGUUGGUGGGGUAAUGGCCUACCAAGACGAUGAUCGAUAGCUGGUUUGAGAGGAUGAUCAGCCACACUGGGACUGAGACACGGCCCAGACUCCUACGGGAGGCAGCAGUGGGGAAUAUUGGACAAUGGGGGCAACCCUGAUCCAGCAAUGCCGCGUGUGUGAAGAAGGUCUUCGGAUUGCAAAACACUUUCGUUGGGGACGAUGAUGACGGUACCCAAAGAAGAAGCCCCGGCUAACUUCGUGCCAGCAGCCGCGGUAAUACGAAGGGGGCGAGCGUUGCUCGGAAUAACUGGGCGUAAAGGGCGCGUAGGCGGCCGAUAGCUGUCAGAUGUGAAAUUUUUGGGCUCAACCCGAAAACUGCAUUUGAUACGUAUUGGCUAGAGUGCGAGAGAGGAUUGCGGAAUUCCCAGUGUAGAGGUGAAAUUCGUAGAUAUUGGGAAGAACACCAGUUGCGAANGCGGCAAUCUGGCUCGUUACUGACGCUGAG
rnacentral:rRNA from 1 species